GGCCGCGUGGCGAAAUGGCAUCGCGUCUGACUACGAAUCAGGAGAUUCCAGGUUCGACCCCUGGCGUGGUCA